CCGGCGUAGCUCAGCGGUAGAGCAGUUGACUGUUAAUCAAUUGGUCGUAGCCCUGCACACUGAC
rnacentral:tRNA from 1 species